rnacentral:rRNA from 1 species
UAGGGAAUCUUCCGCAAUGGACGAAAGUCUGACGGAGCAACGCCGCGUGAGUGAAGAAGGAUUUCGGUUCGUAAAACUCUGUUGUUAGGGAAGAAAAAAUGUAUAGUAACUAUAUACAAAAGAGACGGUACCUAACCAGAAAGCCACGGCUAACUACGUGCCAGCAGCCGCGGUAAUACGUAGGUGGCAAGCGUUGUCCGGAAUUAUUGGGUGUAAAGCGCGCGCAGGUGGUUUAGAAAGUCUGAUGUGAAAACCCACGGCUCAAACGUGGAGGGUCAUUGGAAACUAAUAAACUUGAGUGCAGGAGAGAAAAGUGGAAUUCCUAGUGUGGCGGUGAAAUGCGUAGAGAUUAGGAGGAACACCGGUGGCGAAAGCGGCUUUUUGGCCUGCAACUGACACUGAGGCGCGAAAGCGUGGGGAGCAAACAGG